rnacentral:rRNA from 1 species
GACGAACGCUGGCGGCGUGCUUAACACAUGCAAGUCGAACGGUGAAAGCGGAGCUUGCUCCGCUGGAUCAGUGGCGAACGGGUGAGUAACACGUGGGCAACCUGCCCCUCACUUCGGGAUAACUCCGGGAAACCGGGGCUAAUACCGGAUAUGACCUCCUUGGGCAUCCUUGGAGGUGGAAAGUUUUUCGGUGAGGGAUGGGCCCGCGGCCUAUCAGCUUGUUGGUGAGGUAGUGGCUCACCAAGGCGACGACGGGUAGCCGGCCUGAGAGGGCGACCGGCCGCACUGGGACGGAGACACGGCCCGGACUCCUACGGGAGGCAGCAGUGGGGAAUAUUGCGCAAUGGGCGAAAGCCUGACGCAGCAACGCCGCGUGCGGGAUGACGGCCUUCGGGUUGUAAACCGCUUUCAGCAGGGAAGAAGCCGCAAGGUGACGGUACCUGCAGAAGAAGCACCGGCUAACUACGUGCCAGCCGCCGCAGUAA